rnacentral:rRNA from 1 species
UACAGAGGUCCCAAGCGUUGUUCGGAUUCACUGGGCGUAAAGGGCGCGUAGGCGGACUGCCAAGUCCGGGGUGAAAUCUUUCGGCUCAACCGGAAAAUAGCCUCGGAGACUGGCGGUCUGGAGGGGGGUAGGGGCAGCUGGAACUUCCGGUGGAGCGGUGAAAUGCGUAGAUAUCGGAAGGAACAUCAGUGGCGAAAGCGACUGCCUGGUCCAGCAUCGACGUUCAGGCACGAAAGCGUGGGGAGCAAACAGG